ensembl:lncRNA
UUGCUGAAAUACAACUUAGAGAAGAAAUCAAGUGAGCUGCUGAUGAGGCCAUGAGGAUAAACCGAAAACUGACGUUUGCCAACCAAAAACAAGAGGCAACGAUUAUGUCUCUGAAAAAGGAGCUGGACGAGGUCAAUAACAAGCUUAUUAAGGUCAAGAUGACGUCAGUCCGCUAUGAGAAGACCCACAGUCAAGCAGAGGGACAGCAGCAAGUGCAGGAGCUGCAGCAGAGGCUCAUCAUGGUAAAACCCUCCAUAAAAUCAAACAUUUCAAACCCCAAACCAAAGUUGAAGACAAAAUGUGCUUCCUCUUUUUUUUCAAGGAAAAAGAAAUAAACAGAAAACUUGAGAAGGAAAAUUUAGCAGAAAGGGCAGAAAAGCAGGUAAGAAACUCAAAAAACAUAACUUUAUUCUCUUUAAGAAUUAUAGUUGAAUUUAGGAUUCAAUGGACUUUAAAGUUUCUGAGUGAAUCAUUUAAAAACCCACUCGGUUGAAAAUGGUGUUUUUGGUUUUUUUAACAUGUUCUCGUGUUGUUUUUCUGGUGAUGGAGAACAAAUAUAAAGAUAAUGAAGUCCAAAAGUGCCUUUUAUUUUAAUCGUUGAGAAUCAGGAGCAGGCAUCUGAAUCUAAACUGUACGACUAAAUAGCUCCAAUGUUGCUCUCUAUUGUUAUUGAACUGGUAAUGUUAGGUUGGGGGUGUGAGGGGCUUUAAGCUAGCGGGUGGGAGAGUAACGGGGAGGGAAAGGAAGGUGGGGUUGCUCUGCGCCAACGGGCCGCCCAAAACUCAGAGAUGAAUUUCUAAUCAUCUGCUGCCGCUCUACAGAAGGUAUGUCCUAGAAAACGGUGAAGGUUUUUGGGGAUUUAGGGUAAAAGUGGCCUCAAUAUAAACAAACAACCACUGAGAAUGUGUUUAAAAAAGCUUAAAAGAUGAGCGGAGGGGGUCUUUGAACCAAUUUCAACUAUUUUGUCUGUUCAUUUGUACAGGAGAUGCUGAGGUCUCUGCAGCGAACACAGGAGCUGCUGCUACGGCAAACACAGACAGUGAGAAGAGUAGAAAUGGAGCUACAGACACAAACGGAGAGGUUCCAGGCCCUUCAGCACAAGCACGAGGUGAUGCGUGAGCAAAGCAAGGCGAUGCAGGACAGGCUGGCCCAGCUGAGCGAGAGCUUCACGGCUUCCAAAAGCCGCUGGGACAAAGAGAAAGAUAUGUUUUUGGAUCAAAUCAAGAAUGAGCAGGAAGACCGACAAUCAGUAGAAAAAGCUCAUGAAGACCUUCAGCAGAAACAUUCUGAACUCUCCAAAAAGGCUAAGUGUCUGGUUCAUCGCACAGACAAAGAGGAGCUGUUUUCAGCAGAGGUGGAAGCCAAAGGUGAAAUCCCUGUUGAGUGCAUCCACAGCUCUGAGCGGCCUGACUGCAGUCUGCAGGACCUCCUGUCCUCUCAAGCAAAUGAGGGGAAUCAGAAGGAGACAGAAGCUGCUGAUACCGGAACAACUACAGAAAUGACAGAUAAACACCCGCAUUCACAACCAACAACUACAAUAGACGACCGGCUCCUCCAAAGUGAUGACCCAGUACCGUCCAGAGAGACUAGGACAACAAACAGUAUCAUCAACAGCUUUGAAGCAGGAGAACCAAAUCCUAGUUCAAAUUUGAUUCCAAAUGAUCCGAGUGAUGCUGCUGCUCUCCAGAGCAAUGUUAACUUUCAGACUGCAUCAAUUCGGAAGUGUGAGAGUCCAGAUAAAUUAGCACAUUUACAGACAAAUGAAGAACAUGACAAAGAAUUGGAGGAAAAUGAAGAAAAACCCAACAAACAGGAAGGCUGUAGCUUACACCAUCAGGACGAGGAAGACAUUCGUGAUGAAGAUGUGAACAAUGAAAGUGGUGUAGAAAAGAUAAGAGAUAAAGAGGCAACAGAACCACAGGGGCACAGAAACUCCGAAACACAAGGAAAUGAUCAACCAGAUGGAGACAUAAUGAAUGAAGUGGAAUGGAGAGGACAGACGGCCCAGCAUGCACCAGACCAAAAGAUGGUAGCUCAGGCCGGUACAGAUGUGACUGAGGACACAGUCCCACUGCAGGUCAAUGAGCCAAUGGCUGACGAGCCGCCUCGCUGUGAGCGCUCAGAGACUCCCUCUCAGAAAGUCACUGACAAUGAUUUUUGUCAUUUUAAUGAGGAGCACCAGGCUGAUCCGGAAGACCAUCUUCUUAGCUCAGAGGAGCCUCAGCCUCCGGGCCACGAUGCGGUCCAAACUUCAUGCGAGAAUUCUCCGUCACUUCACAAUCAGUCGGUUUGCCAGGAGUCUGACCAGCCUGCGAAUGAAAAUCCACAGAGGAAAGCAAUAGAUUUUCCUACCGAAUGUCAGGACAUUUCAACGUACUCACAUCUAAAUGUAACACCGUUAUCGGCUCACCUUCCCAUUGAAACGAGUCGAACAGAAGCUGGAGAUUUUUCAGACACUGAUUCCAUCGUGAAGCACGUCGACGAAGCUCAAGUUCAUCAGAAGUCUGUCAAAAUAAACCCAUCUAAAGCUGAACUUCAAAGCCCGUCUGAGGAUGCCGAUCAGAGGAAAGGUCCUUUCAAUGUGAAGGCAUGUGAAAACAGCACCUGUACAACUGUAAGCACAUCCGUUAGAACAUGCUGGUUAACAGAGGGGGCCGCGUACCACGACCCUGAAGCACAAACUGAACGAUAUGGAGAGCAAAUGACAAACGACACACCCAAAGACGCAGCGGAAAAAGAAACUCACCCAAAGGUUUCCAUCCAUUCCAGUCACGAGAGCAACAACUCACUGAAGAUCAGUGAUUCUUCUGUGGCCGGCAUGAAGACUUACAAUUCUUUAUUUGACUGGAACAAAGCUCGGAUUAAAACCUUGGGCACUCAAGAAAAGCCAGAUCUGCAUCACUUGAGACAGGGAGGCUUUUUUUCUGGACUAAAUUCCGUCGGAUCUGACGAGAUUCAGGCACGUCAGCCUGUCUCAGCAUCCCUGCUUAUCAAAAACAGGCAAAGCAAAGUUCCUCUGGUGAUGAUGAGAGCGUCGGACCUGCUCAGUGCCUCCAGUGGCUCUGCAGACACAGCUACCUCCAGGAAACGACAUGAGAGAGAGUGGGAAGCAAAAGGAAGGAUUUGCAGUGAAUCCUCGGCAGGAGAAACUAAGAGUACAGCUUCCAUCAGCCGUCUCCAAGAUGUUUCUGGAACUGUUGGCAAACUCCCACUGCAAAACGUACCAGAGUGUAGCAGAGCUUCCACCUCAGCUGCAGGCCUGAUUUCAGGACCAAAGUCGAACCCGUCCUUCUCUCUGGAGAUGGAGAACCAGCAGACAUUGUUUCGGGAACAGGUCUCCAAGAUCGAACGAUUCCUCAACGCAGAAAGACUCCGAACAUCUAAAAGACAACGAACCGACAACUGACCCAUCGUUGCUCGUACUCUUUAGUAGCUAAAAAUGUCGGCAACGUUUUAAAAGGUUUUAGUUUAAGUGUUUAGUUCUGACACACAUUUUAUCCUAGAAUUCUAUUUCUUAUUUGUGCCUCAGGUUCUAGUUUCUAAAAAUCCUUUGCAUAUGUUUAAAAGCAAGUUUGUUUUUUUGUGGCACAGUUUUCUAUAUGUCAGCUGAAAUAGAAAAUGCUUGUUCUUAUAGUAUAAAUGGUUAAUGUGAUUUCAUUGUUAAAUUAGAUGCAAAAAGUGUCAAAUUCACUCACACCAUAAGUUCAUAUCAAACUCUGAGUUCUGUAAACUGUUUCCCAGAUAUUUACUACGAAUACUGCAAGAAAAAUCUGUUUUCAGUUGUGAGUUUGACUUCAAAACUGAAGUUUACAAUUACUAAUUAUUUAUAGCUGAGUUAUUGGAAUGAAAUACUAGUUUACAUGUCAUUUCACGGCAUACAGCAGAUUAUACAGCACACUGUGAUUACAUACAAAGGCCAGGAACAAUUAACACCCUAAUUAAAGCACUAAUUGUGUCUCAGAGGGGCGCUAACUGUGGAGGCACCUUUGGUCUGCGCGGUGUUGUGUUCAUACAGCUGGCAGACAUUUGUGUUUAAACCACAACUGGUUCGUCUGCGUUUAACACUAAUUAACUAUAAUUUAGAGAAAGAACAAUUAACAGUAAACAUUCAGCUUAAUUUACAGAAAUCAAUUAGUGAACAUUAAUUAACGCACUUUAACGGGCCUCUCAUUGACUUUAUGUCCCCUGAGUGGAACAUAAAGAUUAAGCAGCAGCUUGCCGUACACCUGGAUUACUUUGAUAUUUACCGUUUGGAGGUUUCUGUACACUUUUAUGCAUUCAUUCACUAAAUCAUCUCAAUUUUAGAUGAAUGCUAGUGAAUUCUAAAUGGAUAAAGUAAGAAUAAAUCAAUACAGUUGCUACAAAACCAUAAUAAAGUUAUUUAAACUUAACAAAAAACAUAUUACAAUCAUAUUUAUUCUUCACACGACAAUAACUCAUUCUUUCAUAUUUACAUCUCGUACAAACUCUUCUGAUUGCAGCUCAUGCUUUGCAACUGAAAUACAUAUAUGGAAAAUACCUUACAGAUAAGUUAGGAAAUGUUUGUCCUUGUCAACGACAGUGAAGCUGCAGCAUGAGGAAGUAAAAGCGGAGUAUUUCUUCAGUUAUAUUACAGUAAAGUAAAAUUUAGUUUUAAUAAACGAAUUACUAUAUUUGUCUAAAUAUUCAAAUAAUAGUGUCAUAAUAAGGUCAACCAAACUCAACACUAUAGGUGUAGAAACAUUUCACUUUGAUAGCAUUAAAAGAAAUAUAGGAGUUUGGGACAAUAGGAUCCAAAGCUACUGGUUUUUUAAAAAAGGACACCAACAAUAGAAUAAAAUUUUGCUUAAAAACCAGAGCAUCUACAGUGGACCCUGUUAGCCUGAAGAGACAAAAACUCCACCCCCUUUCCUAGUUUGAGCUUUCACAAAAAUCCUCUUCUAAUUUUAAGGACGCAGACUUUAAUGGCAGCACAGGGUCUGCGUUUGAUCCAUCUUACUACACUUACUGAUAAUGAAUAUGCUCGAAUGUUAAUGUCCUCAUAAAGAAAUCCGGAGCAGUUGAUGACUUAGACCAUUGCUGCUGACCCUUAUCCUCUCCAGGAGGAGGGGAGGAGAGGUGGAGGAGGUGCAAAAUAUAGUGGAGUUAAUUUUACUACACUUGUGCACACAAACACAUACAGGUUCUGUAUUUUCGCAGUUUCGGUUUCUCCUCUGGCUUUAUUGCCAACACCCACACACUCCCCUCAUAUAAAGUGUUGGCUCUUUGAAACAGCCAAUUACCCUCCAGCUGGGGAGGAUACCUGCUUUUAAUUACUGCUCAUGGUUUUAUAUGGAGAGUAAAUAAAGAGAUCGCUGACAUUCACAUUCCAUCGAUGCGUCUCCAGGAGCUACUGCAGUGUUUAGGUUUUAUUCCACUUCUAAUCCUUCAUAGAUAGCAAAACCUUUUUGCCUCGUCAUUGUAAAAAAAAUAGUAUAAAUACUGAAAUUGGUUUUAGUUGAAGUCCUCUCAGGUAUACUUUUAGGUGUUUCCUGCUUUUGCUUCAGUUUAAUUCUGUUGAAAUAACAUCAUGUUUUUUGGACUAUAAGUCGCUCCAGAGUAUAGGACUCAAAACAAAGCAUAAUAAAGAAGAAAAAAUAAUAUACAAGUCACACUUUUGGGAAAUGUAUUUAAAAUAAAUGUGAGCCUAUUUAUUAAAAAAACGAAAACAUAUAUAAGUCGCACCACCGGCCAAACUAUGCAAAAGAGGAUGACCUUUACACACAAAAAAGGAUUCAAACAACAGUGAAAAGUCAUCCUUUCUUCAGACGGAAGAACAGGAAGAGACUUCCAUCAGAACGAGGCCCAGAAAAAGGUUCGGUUUAUCCACUAGCACUGGGUGGGAUUAGUGAGGACAAGAUAGAGACAGAAACACCGGGACAUCUGAUACAAGGCAAAGGAGCAAGUUAUCAUCUGCAGAAAUUCGGUUGCUUUCCAAGUGAUAUGGGAGGACUUCCGGUUCCAGUUGACUUCCGGUUCUGGAUGUUAAUGUCUGCAGCCAAGUCCUCUUGACGCUCUGCCCCAUCCAGGUUACAGAUCCCACAUUAACUUCUUCCUCAGGUCAUGGAAGACCGGUGACUCAUCAGUGCCUGGCCGUGAAAUCCUGAGAUUAUUCCAGAACACCUGUGUGUGUUUCUCUACUCAGUGCCAUUAGAGACUCUUUCCUGCUCUAAUCUGAGUGUGGUUCUAGUUUGUCCACUACAGUAAAGGAGAGUUAUAUGUCCAAUUUCUACUGGUUGCUCUUCAUUUAAAUGUAAGGUAGGACCAGUAGAAAGCACAACCUAUUUGACAUCAAUGUAUGAAAGCCAAUGACUUUAUCCAGUGCUGUUAUAAGAAAGCAAUACGGUAAGUCUUCUCUGUGAUGAACUCAACUUUAUGCACUGACAUGAUUCACAUGGCAAACAUGCAGAAAUGGAAAAUAACUUUACACACACCCCCACCCACCGUAAGCUUCUUCAUCACAAGCAGGGGCCCGAACAGCAAAGAAAAAUAGACCAAGUCGCAAGUUUGAAUUCAUCCCUGAUUUACGACUCAAUUUUAUUGAAAUUCUGUACAUGAGAAGGGAGGAAGGCAAUAUAUUUGCCAAUCCUCCAGCUAAAUGGGUUUCACCACCUCUAAACAAUGUUGAAUAUCCUGAGGUUAUGGGGCCAUGUUUUGUCAUAUUAUACCUCUUUGCCUCAAAAGCCAUCACAGUAAAUCUAGCCGGGAAGUCGCAUUAAACAGUGCAGGAGAUGUCAGCUGAGACGGAGGCUGAGUGCAAUCCUGGCACUCCGAGAGGACUCUGCAGUCUCAAAGUGAAGAAGUGCAGCUGCUCCUUUAGCCCUGUAAAAAUACUUAAGGGAGCAGAUGAUUAGAAGAAGGACUCCACACUCAAACAGACUCGGUUUGCUCUGUUGAGAUAUACUUGCUGACAUUAAUGGUUGAAUAGAUAUGAGUUUGUUUUUUUAUUCAAAACUAUUAAAA